rnacentral:rRNA from 1 species
CGCGCAGGCGGCUGGGCAAGUGGGUGGUGAAAUCCCCGGGCUCAACCCGGGGUUGGCCACCGAGACUGUCUAGCUGGAGUGUGGGAGAGGAGGGUGGAAUUCCUGGUGUAGCGGUGAAAUGCGUAGAGAUCAGGAGGAACACCGGUGGCGAAGGCGGCUCUCUGGACCACGACUGACGCUGGGGCGCGAAAGCUAGGGGAGCAAACAGGAUUAGAUACCCUGGUAGUCCUAGCCCUAAACGAUGGAUACUUGCUGUGGGGGGUAUUAAAUCCCCCUGUGGCGGAGCUAACGCGUUAAGUAUCCCGCCUGGGGAGUACGGUCGCAAGUCUGAA